GACGGAGGAUGACAGCGUUAUCCGGAAUGAUUGGGCGUAAAGCGUCCGCAGGUGGCAGUUCAAGUCUGCUGUCAAAGACCGGGGCUUAACUUCGGAAAGGCAGUGGAAACUGAACAGCUAGAGUAUGGUAGGGGCAGAGGGAAUUCCUGGUGUAGCGGUGAAAUGCGUAGAGAUCAGGAAGAACAUCGGUGGCGAAGGCGCUCUGCUGGACCAUAACUGACACUCAGGGACGAAAGCUAGGGGAGCGAAUGGG
rnacentral:rRNA from 1 species